GACGAACGCUGGCGGCGUGCUUAACACAUGCAAGUCGAACGGAAAGGCCCUGCUUUUGUGGGGUGCUCGAGUGGCGAACGGGUGAGUAACACGUGAGUAACCUGCCCUUGACUUUGGGAUAACUUCAGGAAACUGGGGCUAAUACCGGAUAGGAGCUCCUGCUGCAUGGUGGGGGUUGGAAAGUUUCGGCGGUUGGGGAUGGACUCGCGGCUUAUCAGCUUGUUGGUGGGGUAGUGGCUUACCAAGGCUUUGACGGGUAGCCGGCCUGAGAGGGUGACCGGCCACAUUGGGACUGAGAUACGGCCCAGACUCCUACGGGAGGCAGCAGGGGGUAUAUUGCACAAUGGGCGGAAGCCUGAUGCAGGAACGCCGCGUGCGGGAUGACGGCCUUCGGGUUGUAAACCGCUUUCGCCUGUGACUAAGCGUGAGUGACGGUAAUGGGUAAAGAAGCACCGGCUAACUACGU
rnacentral:rRNA from 1 species